UUUAUGAAGCAUGAUGAACUGUAUUGAUCUGACAGUGCAAUGGAGUCUCAAUUCAAUCCAACCCUGAGCUUCAUAGU